rnacentral:rRNA from 1 species
CCUACGGGAGGCAGCAGUAGGGAAUCUUGCGCAAUGGGCGAAAGCCUGACGCAGCCAUGCCGCGUGAAUGAUGAAGGUCUUAGGAUUGUAAAAUUCUUUCACCGGGGACGAUAAUGACGGUACCCGGAGAAGAAGCCCCGGCUAACUUCGUGCCAGCAGCCGCGGUAAUACGAAGGGGGCUAGCGUUGCUCGGAAUUACUGGGCGUAAAGGGAGCGUAGGCGGAUAGUUUAGUCAGAGGUGAAAGCCCAGGGCUCAACCUUGGAACUGCCUUUGAUACUGGCUAUCUUGAGUACGGGAGAGGUGAGUGGAACUCCGAGUGUAGAGGUGAAAUUCGUAGAUAUUCGGAAGAACACCAGUGGCGAAGGCGACUCACUGGCCCGUUACUGACGCUGAGGCUCGAAAGCGUGGGGAGCAAACAGGAUUAGAUACCCUGGUAGUCCACGCUGUAAACGAUGAGUGCUAGUUGUCGGCAUGCAUGCAUGUCGGUGACGCAGCUAACGCAUUAAGCACUCCGCCUGGGGAGUACGGUCGCAAGAUUAAAACUCAAAGGAUAGACGG